UAAUUGCGCGUCAACUUGUGAACUGCAGGACACAUGAACAUCGACAUUUCGAACGCACAUUGCGGUCCACGGAUCCGAUUCCCGGACCACGCCUGGCUGAGGGUCGUUUCAUGCAUUACGAACAGACUGCUCGCGUGUGUCUGUCAAGCCACGCGAGCGAACGCUUGAGCGUUCGUAAUCGUAAGAUUGCGUCGCUCGAAAUGAAAUUUCGAACGACGUCACACGUUGAGCGCAAAGACAAAAAUUUUUUGUGAAUCGUCUCGAACGCGUUGCAUUUUCUCUCUUUCUUGAGUGACGAGUGCUUUGCGUGCGUGGGUUUUGUUCGCCGAGUCCCUGAGCUCUUCAGCGAGCGGACCGGCCGAAACUUGCCCUGUACCGUGGAGUCACAAUAAAAACGACAUUCAAAGGGAAAGAGAGAGUAACAAAAUGCCAAUCGAUUCUAUCAUAUAUUUUGGCGUCUUAAGCUCUCUUGCGUGUACGAAAUAAAUACAUUAUUGCGACGACCUCAGAGCAGGCGAGACUACCCGCUGAA
rnacentral:rRNA from 1 species